UGGCAGCCAGUUAAGCUGACUGUGCUCUUUCCCCAUGGGGACCCAGUGUGCAAUGGCUACAGACAACAGCCUUCUUGGUAGUGUCUGCAGCUUGUUACCCAUACAGGUUGCCCUAAGGGACCUUGGAGACAACU
ensembl:snoRNA SNORA70 Small nucleolar RNA SNORA70